CAGUGUUUAGUUAAAUGGAUAUAACGGCCCCCUCCUAAGGGGCAGUUACAGGUUCGAUUCCUGUCGGGCCACCCA
rnacentral:tRNA from 1 species